AGGGUUGUAGCUCAGUAGUAAAGCAUCUGCUGUGCAUGCAGAACGUCCCAAGUGCAACCCUUAGCAUCUCCA